UGAAGAGUAAAAUACAGAAUAAAUAUUAAAUAAUAACGCAUUUUCACCAAUUUUAGAAAAAAAUUACAAAAUCACAAGUAAAAUAAUAGAAGUAGAAAAAAGAAAAUAAAAAUUGUAUGUCUCAUGGCCAGUCCCAAAAGGUAAGUGCAGCAACGCCGCUACUCAAGGCAAUGGAAUAUGAGACCGCAAAUGAAUAGAGAAUAAUCCACAAGGAAUAAACCAUGAGAAAUACAUCAAUAUCCAAAGCUUUAUAUACAAUGUUUACUACGAGCUAUACAGAAACUCAUAUUCUGUCUCGGAUAAAGAAAAGGAGCGUCGCUGCCAGCGAAACAUCCUCCAUUGCAUAAACUAAUAAACAAAAGGAAAAAAUUUAAAAGAAACUCAGACAUCCAAGGAAGGAUCAAAAAAGCACAGACUCUCAAGCCCGGCGAGGCGAAAGCCCUUAGACGGAGCGAAUAUUGAGAAACAAGCUUUUGGAUUUAUCAUCGUCGACACACUGCAUCGGAACAGAUCUUCAACAAAUAAUCAAUAAAAAAAUUUAAAAAAAUUAUCAAAACAAAUAUGAAAUUAGAAGCACUCGGAUAAUCUCGGACAUCCAAGGAAAGAGCGAAACAGAACAGACUCUCAAGACCGACGAAGCGAAAGCUCUUAGACGACCCUGCGAUUGUUGAGAAAAAAGAAAAUAAGAAUUAAAUGUACGUCUUAUGGCCAGUCCCUAAAGAUAAUUGCAGCAACGCCGCUACUCAAGGCAAUGGAAUAUAAGACCGCAAAUGGAUAGAGAAUAAUCCGCUAGGAAUAAACCAAGAGAAAUCUAUCAAUAUCCAAAGCUUUAUUUGCAAUGUUUACUACGAGAUAUACAGAAACUCAGAUUCUGCCUCGGAUCAAGAAAAGGAGCGUCGCUGCCAGCGAAGCAUCCUCCAUUGUAUGAAAUGAUAAACAGAAAAUAAAAUUAAAAUUAACUCAGACAUCCAAGGAAGGAGCGAAACAGCACAGACUCUCAAGCCCGGCGAGGCGAAAGCCCUUAGGCGGCCCUGCGAAUGUUGAGAAACAAGCCUAUGGAUUUAUCAUCAUCGCCAAAACUAAUCGGAAUAGAUCUUCAGGAAAUAAUCAACAAAAAUUUAAAAAAAUAUAUAUCAAAACAAAUAUGAAAUUGGAAGCAUUCGAUUAAUCUCAGACAUCCAAGGAAGGAGCGAAACAGCACAGACUCUCAAGCCCGGCGAGGCGAAAGCCCUUAGGCGGCCCUGCGAAUGUUGAGAAACAAGCCUAUGGAUUUAUCAUCAUCGCCAAAACUAAUCGGAACAGAUCUUCACGAAAUAAUCAAUAAAAAUUAAAAAUUAUAUAUCAAAACAAAUAUGAAAUUGGAAGCAUUCGAUUAAUCUCAGACAUCCAAGGAAGGAGCGAAACAGCACAGACUCUCAAGCCCGGCGAGGCGAAAGUCCUUAGGCGGCCCUGCGAAUGUUGAGAAACAAGCCUAACGAUCUGUCAUCAUCGAUUCUGCAACACUAAAAAAAGAAAAAAAAUCCGAUCGAAAUCGUCAAAAUACAAAGACCAAACGAAAACCUAAAUGAAAUUUCUUACACGAACUGAACCAUAUCACCUCGGUCCUAUUUAUAUGCACUCACUAAUCUUUCCACCGUUGGAUUAUUUUCUAUUUUAUUCGUGGGGUCAUUGGAUAUUUUGCAGUGAAUAUCCUGAAAAAUUCUUUUAUUAUCUAUCAUUACUUUAUAAAUAAAGUUUG
rnacentral:lncRNA from 1 species